CCGGCGUCGGAGGGGCGACCUGCGGGGGCUGGGCUUCGGCGGAACCCGAGCGGGGCCUACCGGGUCUCACUCUGUCACCCAGGCUGGAGUGCAGUGGUAUGAUCAUAGCUCACUGUCGUCUCAAACUGCUGGGCUCAAGAGAUCCUUUGGCCCCAGCCUCCCAAAGUACUGAGAUCCCAGGCUUGAGCCACCGUGCAGGCUGAGCAUACCUUUGAUAUGCAGAGCAACCAUCAUGAGUCCCACCUGCCUCCUUUCAUCAGGCUCCUGCAUUCCUGAACACUAGCCCCCUGCCCUAAAUCACCCCAAGGCCAGGUACCAGCUAGCUAGAUACCACCCCCAAGCCCAGAGCCCACUGAAAUGACCCAGUUCUAAUUCUGCUCAGCUUGCCUCCUCUGCCUUGCCUGGAAAAUGGCAAUAAAGGCUCUUGCCCACCCUUUCCCUUCACCCCCUCCCUG
rnacentral:lncRNA from 1 species